GAUGCACCACUAUAUAAACUGACAACAGAGCAGACGCCUGUCAGUUGCUGGAUUUGAUCUCUUGACAGUGAGAAUACAUUCUCUUGUGUUGCAUCGAACAUUCAAAGUUUCAAGUACUCUUACCGUAGACAUAACGACUCCAAGAUGAAAGCCAUUUUUGUCAUUCUCUUGGUGGUUCUAGCUGCCUUGGCCUUGGAAGCAAGGUCUACUAAUCGUCUGUGGCAGUUUGAUGAUGAAAGCGAAUCAGACGCAGCAGAGAGGAUGCUAGAACUGUUUUUGGAGCGAAGGGAACCGUCUAUCUGCCCUGCUUGUUCCCAUCAAAAAGUCGGUUGUCCUUGCGGCCUCAGGAGCCAUUGUUUACGUUUAUACUGUACCAGCACCGGAAAGUGCACUGAAUCAAACUGCGGCAAACACAAGUAGUUCAAGCCAAGCUUGUUACAUACAAAGGUAAAGUUGCCUUGACCAGCUCAGUGAUUCCUUAGGAGCUUAAAGAAAAGCUCAUUGUAGAUUGAUGCUUUCAUUUUGUACCUUUUUUAAGUUUGUUUAGUUGUUAUUUGAAGUUCCUUACUGAAUGAUUAAGGGAGAUAUAAAUAUAUAUGUAUAUAAGUACAAGGAUGUAUUGUGUAAAAUUUACACAGAAUAAAAGGAAUCAAAACUUGAGUGUUUGCCACAAUUUAAA